rnacentral:rRNA from 1 species
AUGCGGAUCUACUUCCGGUAUCUGUCCCAGGGGCAGGCCAUGCGCUACCUCCGCCUGGCCGGCGCCGACCUCGCCGUCGCCGUCCAGCUCGGCGAGAACCAGCAGUUCAGCCCCGAGGACCGUCGCACCAUCGGCGCCCCCGACCUCCGCUGCGGCAGGACCCAGUUCGCCCUCAAGGUCGCCGCGAUCGUGGCAGGGCACCCCGUGCCGGACGACCUGGUGCGGCUCGCGAAGCUGCUCGUCCCCUUGAGAGACCACGAUCGCACGCCUCUCGCUGCUGUGGUGAAGAAGGGCCGGCCCAUCAGCGUCGGCGAGGUCGACGGCAUCCUCAGUUUCCUCCGGUUGCAGCACCACGCGGCCUCCCCUGCCGUCAAAGUCGCCUUCCAGCGCAGCCCCAAUCCGGCUGACAUGGAGAUCGGGAGGAGCUUGCUUGGACUAGAAGAAGCAGGAGGGCAGGUGCUAGAAGCUGGUGACCGGCCUGCCUGCUUCAUCUGCCCCUUGGGCGAAAACCACGUCGCCGAUGUGAGAACCGAAGCCCUCUAG